CGCGCCGGCCAGGGUGCCUUCGGCA
rnacentral:misc_RNA from 1 species